ensembl:lncRNA
UUUUUUUUUUUUUUUUUUUUGUCUUUUUAGGGCCACACCCACAGCACAUGGAAGUUCCCAGGCGAGGGGCUGAAUCAGAGCUGCAGCUGCCAGCCCACAGCACAGCCACAGCAACACCAAAUCUGAGCCACAUCUGCAACCUCACCACAGCUCAAGGCAAAACUGGAUCCUGAACUCACUGAGCAAGGCCAGGGAUCAAAUCCACGUCCUCAUGGAUAUUAGUCGGGUUUAUUACUGCUAAACCAUGACAGGAACUCCUGGGAAUGUAAUUUUGUACAGCCGCUUUGGAGAACAAUAUGGAAGAUCCUUAAAAACCUAAAAAUAGGACUAACAUAUGAUCCAGCAAUUGCAUUCCUGGGCAUGAAUCUGGAGAAGAAAACCCUAAUUCAAAAAGAUACAAACACCCUAAUGUUCACUGCAGCACUACUUACAAUAACCAAGACAUGGAAAAAAAUAUAUAUCUAUUAACAAAGUAAUGGAUAAAGAAGAUGUAAAGAAUGAAAUAAUGUAACUUGCAGCAACAUGGAUGGUCCUAGAGAGUAUCAUACUAAGUGACCUAAGUCAGACAGAGAAAGACAAAUAUCGUAUGCUAUCACUUACAUGUGGAAUCUAAACGGUGAUACAAAAGAACCUAUUUAUAAAACAGAAAAAGACUUACAGAUUUCAAAAACAAACUCAUGGUUACUAAAGGGGAAAAGUGGGGAGGAGGGAUAAAUUAGGAGUUUGGAAUUAACAUAUACACACUACUAUAUAUAAAAUAGAUAAUCCAGAUGGACCGAUUGUAUAGCAUAGGGAGCUCUAUUCCAUAUCCUUUAAUAAUAUAUAUAGGAAAAAAACCUGAAAAAGAGCAUAUGUAACUGAAUCACUUUGCUGUGCAUCUGAAACUAAUACAACAUUAGUGAAUUACUGAAUCAACUGUGUUUCAAUACAAAAUAAAACUUUUUUAAAAAAUACAAUAUCACUUCUGUGAUAUUCCUUUCAAAGACAUAACACGAAUUAAAUCAUGAAUAAAUAUCUUGUAAACUCAAAUUGAUGAAUAGUUUGCAAAGUAAUAGGAAAAUAAUCUUUGAAAGUAUCAGAGAUUAAAGAGACGUUAAAAUAAAAUACAGCAUGUGAUUCUGAACUAGAAUCUUUGCUGUAAAGGAUAGUCGUGAAGUUGGAAUGGUGCCUAAGGUUUAAGUGGUAGAAAUGUAUUCCUAAUGUUGAUGGUUAUAUUGUGAUUUCAUAGAAGGUCUUUGUAAGAAUUACACAGUACAAUGAGGUUUCUGUAUAGCACAGGGAAAUAUAUCCAAUCACCCGUGGUAGAACAUGAUGUAAGACAAUAUGAGAAAAAGAAUGUACAUAUAUGUAUAACUGGGUCAGUUUGCUACACAGCAGAAAUUAACAGAACAUUUUAAAUCAACUAUACUUUAAUAAAAUAAUUUUUAAAAAAGAAUUAUACAGUAGACUAUUUGGAGGUGAUCUGACAUCAGAUUGUCUAAUUUUCCUUAAGUAGCUCAGAAAAAAAAUUCUUAUACUACAUAUGUAGUUCUUGUGUAACUUUGAUAUUCUUCAAAAUCAGUAUUUUUUUUAAAUAGCAAAAAUCUACUAACCUAAUUUAUGAAGCGAGAGUCUCAGAAUGUACCAGAAUAAGUGUAAUGCAGCUAUCAAUCAAUUAUCAUUUAUCUAUUGAGUUUUCUCAUGGGUUCCAGCAGUCUACACGGUAAGGCAAGGCUGCUAUUUAAUCAUAUGAUAAAAUAAAUAUAAGUAAAUAGUGGAUCACUGGAUAUGUGUGUACUGGCAUUGGAUACAAUCAGCAAUCAAGAAGAAAGUGACUUGUGUGAGUUGGAAAGUUUUCCAGAUGAGAACAUCAGUACAGGCAGGAAAUCAGGGUGGAGAGAAAGCACAGGUUUAGCAAAGGAUGGUCAGGACACCAACUUGACAAAGAGCAAAAGAUUUGCAAUGGAAAAUAGUACGAGGUAGUGCAAAGGCAGACACAACAUAGAGAUCCUUCAGAGUGAUAUUAAGUCAUGAUGGUGAAAUGGUAAGUUUCUACCCAAAGCAAAAGACCCACUUUAGUAGGUAAAAAUUAGGACAAAAAUCUAUAAUCAUCUUUCUCUUGACUAGCUGGUAACUAAGGCAGUAAUUUUCAAGUGUAAUCCUCAAAUGUAAUCCUAUUUAGAAGUGCAAUGUAUAGAGUAGAUAAAAAUGAAGCUUCUCUCUAUAUUCAGUGAGCCCAGACCAUGGCCUCUUGACCUGCUUUACAACUGAUAUGACCACCAACAUUCUGCUGGGGAAGACCUAGGAGUCAAGGGUCCUAGAUGGAAAAACACUACUAUUAACACAGUCUGAAGAGGAUCUCAGAUGUAUUUGUGCAUCCUCAAGUGGAAAGAUCCACAAUAACAAGCAUAUAUGCUUGUUCUCUUUAUCUCUAUGCACUAAUGUAUUACUAAUGUAUCAAUCUGCAUACAAACCACCCAUUCUCACUUCUGCCUGAAAUUUCCAGGUCAAAUGGAAUAGUUUUAAUCAAGACAUACUUUUUUUUUCUUUCUCCAUAAAAUGAUUAUCUAGCACCACUCUGUAGAAGUAUAUAUGGAUAUAAUACAUUUAGCAUUCAGCUGAGUACUUUUCAAUCAAAUUAAAAUAUAUCAAAUUAGUUUCUCUAUCAGGUGUCGACAGAGUUUAUGAAAAUCGGGUUAUAUAUUUAUUACUUUCAGAGAUCUUCUUGAAAAUGUAUGAGACUCUGGGUCCUGGAAAAGACAGUCCUUAACUGAUUCCAGACCUCAGUACCCCAGAGUAAUUAUAAAUUAUAAACUCAGGUUUCUUCAAAUUUGAUAUAAUAAAAAUAAUUUCAGAAUAUUAAUAGAAUGCUGAGAAAAUAUACUCAGAAAUAAAAUAAUAAACUAUCAUUUCCUUUGAAUGAAGUAAUUUUCAUUUUAAUAGGCAUUAAUAAAAUAUAAUUAGAACUAUUAAAUACAGAUUAUCAUGUUUAAAAUUUCAUUUAUUGGUAAACUCUUAAAACUGAGUCAGAACUUUUAAUUUAUCGAAGCCAUAAUUGAGAAAUAUAAAAAUACCUGUAGCUAAAAGUGAAACAAUGAACUGUAUUAAAAACAUGACAAAAUAUUAGCAAUCUUGAGGUAAUUUUGAAGUUUAUGUAAUUAUGCCUCUGAAUAUACUUUCAAAAUCCCAAUAUUAAUAUAAUUAUGCUAUACACUAAGUUCCUUUCCAAUUCAUGAUUCAUAACAACCAGAUUUUACAGUUUCUUUGGUGUGUAAUUCUUCUUCCCUCUCAGACCCAACACUUCCCAGGUCAGAUCAUCCUGAAACUUAACCCUAGUUAGAGACCCUGGUGGUCAAGCAAACAUAUGAAGGGAGAUGCUGAAGGAGAGCGUGGUCUUGGAAGGCACUUCAUUGGAGGAAAGCAAGGGAGGUCUUAUCUUCCAUCAAGGGGAGCAGGCCAAUUUGUAGGCCCAGAGGGUUCAGGAACUCAGGGGAAUCAAAGGAUUUUAACUGCAUCUAGCCUAAUCAAAGCCAUUCCUGGUGAAAAAGCCUCUAUUAAGCUGAGAGUAGUUUUGUCUCUUUUAUAGUCAAUUACAAUGCCUAAUUUUCAGUUCUGCCUUCUCUCUGGUUUCAAGAGAUGAGAGUCUCUUUAAAAACUGCCAAGUAGACUCCAACUUUCAUACCUUGCUUUAAAUUCAUAAUGAACAGAUAUGAGUGUGUCGUUUUCUAUUUUCAACACACAAAUGGUGUUUAGCAAUACCUUCUCAAUUCCAGUAAUUCUAAUUACUAGUUUCUUCAUUAUUCUCAGACAUCAUAAAUAUUGACCAGUUAAUCUAUGCCCUUCCACUGAGAGCUUCCCUAAGUUGAUCAUAGCUGAAAGUCUUAGCAAUCACAAAAGCAAAGCAAGCCAGACUACCAGUUGCCACCAGGGAUCGGGCUCUCUUUGCCAUCCAGCUAGUGAGUUAUCUAACCCCAGAAACCCAUCUUUAAAGCCUCCUUCCUGGCACCAAUUUCAGCACUAUCUCUGACAGGUUCUCAUGUAAAUAAUUUACAGAUCAAGGAUUUGCAGGAGAAAGAUUAUAAACAAAACAAUAGAAGGUAGAAAACAAACCAAAAACCCCCCAACCAAAACAAAACAAAACAAGCAAGAAUAUGGUCUCACUAGGGACUAGCUUUAGUCUGAUUCCAUGUGAAGUUUCGAGCACAACUCACAUCUUAGAGUUCGCCUUACCUUGAGCAAGGAAAUCAACCAGGCCCAUCCAUCAGUUUUCAGCCCCUGGCUGCUGGGGGGUAGAGAGUAAGGAAGUGGAGUCAAAACCACCUACGUAAUGUUAUAUCUGAUUCAGCUGAGGUCAAUUCUCCUAGGAAGAAAGAGCUGAGAGUUUUCAGCAACCGGCCCUUGUGACCUCUGUGGGAUAAAUGUACCAGCCCAGUGAAGGAGAUCUGGGCCACUUCAUCACUCAAACCAGGAUACUCUUGAGAGAAAGAGACAACUACUGAUAAGUAUGUUUAAAAAAAAAAUCAAGCAUAAACCAAACCAAGACCAUCCCAGGCAAACAGAAAUGUACGCUCAUCCUACCUCCAUCCCUCUACUCCCUUGGUAUACGGAACACAGCACUACAAUGCAAGGUCAAGUUUCUCUGAAGGACAUGCAGCCUUCUCUACUGAGGUCUAGGAAUAAAAAACCCCAUAUCUCCUCUGUAAAUCUUCCCCCUUGGGCUUGGGUUUGAUGUAAGGGUACAGAUGAGAGGAGAAGACUGAAAAACUGAUUUUCUUUUAUUCCUCCUUAUUACAGCCCCUCAAGACCAAGAAGAGAACUGUUUACUUUAUCUAAACUAUAGAAAUGUUUUCAUCAGAGAAACAAGGAUUAUUCUGCACUUAAACUCAAGCCCAUAGUGUAAAGCACACUUUGUCAAUUGAAUGUCUUUAAAUGUGUCAAGAAUCAGAAGGAAAAAGUAUGAUAGGUCUUUCAAAAAUGGUGUUAGAAGUGCUAAGGUAACAACAAAAGCUAAAGACGAAGAAAACUGAGGAGGAGUAUCUUUUAAAAACAUUACAUUCAAAAAACCAAAGGACUUGAAAGAAUUGUGAAAUGUUAAAACAUAUUUUAGAAGUUACAGAUGUGAGGUCAUUUUUUUAGUGUUUCCAAUAUAUAAUUUUAAGACAUCUGUUUCUGGGAAAUUUUUAUGAGGAAACAAAACAUAGUAAGAAAAAAAAUUGAUUUUCUAAAUCCAUGAAAAACAGAUCUUUACAAAGAAAAAGAAAAAAAAAUGUAUACUUAAUACUGUUUCCUGGAAGUUUACUUAGAAACAAGGGAGAAGUAUUUUCUGUUGGAAGGCAGUGAUUCCAACUUAGUGUGUGAGAGUUUAAGGCAGAAGGGUACACAUUUUGCAACUUGUCACCACAUUCUCAAGGCUUUGUUAUCAAUUCUCAGAGUUCUCACAUUCUGAGUGAAAAAUUAUUGGACAAACCCAUGAAACUGGUGCUGUUUUGAUUGUGAGUGAAUUAUCUGAUCAAAUCAUGAGAAUAGUAUGUUGUUUUUUGUUUUUCGCUUUUUAGUUUUUUUUUUUUUUCAGUUGGGUUGGUAUAUUUGGGAUGUUGGAAUAUAGAAAUAAUAUUUAAAAGCUUUGUUGAUGUUUACUUUGACAAACAAUAAACUGCACAUGUACAAUUUUUGACCCAUAAAUACACCCAUGUAAACAUCACUGUAAUAAAAGUAAUAAAUACAUUCAAUCAGCCUCCUAAAUUUUCUCAUACCUCUCUGUAAACAUCAUCCCAGUCCCUCUCUGGCCCUAUCCUGUGUCCCCAAAAUUCUCUCAUCUUUUUUCUGCUACUAUGGAAAUAAAGCUGCUGGGAAUAUUUAUGUGCAAGUCUUUGUGCACAUGUAUACUUUCAUUUCUCUUAGGUUGACAUCAAGGAAUAGAAUGGCUGGAUCAUAUGACAGGUGAGUAUUUAAAUUUUUAAGACACUGUCAAACUGGUUUUCCAAAGUGACUGUGUAUUUCAUUACCACUAACAAGUUAGGCAAAGAUUUAUUAGAUACAACUCCAAAACCAUGAUCCAUAGAGUUUUUAAAAAAUAAUAAAAUGCAUUUUAUCAAAAUGUAAAGCUCUGUUCUUCAAAAGACACUGUUAAG